UGGGCACACCAUGAACGUGGCGACGCGCAUGCGGAACGCGAGCGCGAGCGGCAGCAGGAGCGACUGGAGAGAAUCAGACGACAGAAGAAGAUGAUGGCGGAGGACCGCACCAUGCAGGCGCUAAAGCUGCUGGAGAAGGCGCUGGAGAUGGACAGAAUGUUGACAGCGGACAAGGAGCGCCAAGGUAAGCUGUUACAAGACAAGCUGCAGGAGAUGAAAAAGAAGCGAAGCGGCAGCAGCGCCCAGAUGGCGCAGCAGGACCAGCCCGUCAUAGAGGACCUGGAAAAAUACUGACCCCCGCCACCCGUGUCCACGCUACGGUCAUCAUGGCGCCGGCUAAAUCUUGACCUUUGACACUUGCGGUCAAAGUUUGACAUUAACGAUGAUAGAGGACUUCGGCGCUGGCGGUGCAUCUUUAAUGACUUGAAGUAUUAAUCCGAGCCCGCAGUGCAGUGAUAGUGAGUUUGGAUAAAACGCUGACCUUUGACACCUACAGACUAGCUCCACUCACCAACGAAGCUUCAUUAAGAUUUUUGAUCGGAUAGAGUUUCUUCCUCACUGCCAUAUUGGCUUUUCCCUUUUCUUUAUAUAUUUUUAUUUCUCUUUUAUUUGUCCCCCUUUCUUUCUUUUUCUUUCCUUCAUAUCCUACUGACUUCUCUUUUGUUUUCUUUCUUUUAUUGUUUCUUUGCUUUUGUUCUUUCGCUUGUCCUUGCUUUAUUUAAAUUGACAAAAAGUUGGACCGGAGAGACCGGUUGAAGACAGACAUGACAGCAACACGUGACCUGAUUACAGAAGGAAAAAUUCACAGUUUCUACUUUUUUUUUUUUUAAAGAAUUCUUUGAUUCACUGUAAUAUUCAAUGGUUGCGAUUCACCUUGCUAAGAACAGCUGUUGGCGGCCAUUCACCGGUAGGUAACAAAAAGUAUAUAAAAAAAAAAAUUGUAAAGCUGCUGUCGAUAAUUUUUUUUUUCUGCUUUUCAGGAGAACGAUUGUGAGUUGUAGAUGGCGACAUUGUUGUUUAUAAGAACCAAUGAGAGUACAGUGAGUGUAAGCAUGUGUGGGAUGUAAAUGGGUUAAGGGGAAGGAGUCUUGCUGUCCUGUCAUCUGAUAUUUUAACGAUCGACGUCCAGCAAUGAAGUGAGGGAUGACGCUAGUGGCAACGGAAAUCGAAGAGCCAAAGAAAUGGCAGGAUGGAAGGAGAGAAAGUGUCACAAUGAUUAUACCUCAUGGUUGUCACAGUUCUUGUUGUUGUUGUCACGUGGGCGGGAAUUCAGUGUACUUUUGACAAUAGCGCUCUCUUUAUUCGCUUGUGCAUUCCAGUGAGACAAAAAUGUUUUAUUAACUCUUUUCAAUGUUGUUGUACUAAGUAAACAGUAAAUAAAAUAACGAGGCUUUUCUUA